GCCCUGGGAGGAGGCGAGCCUCCCGCCCAUCAGCCAAUCGGAAGUCCUGUUCCCCUUCUGCCCGGAGCACGAGCGACUUUGCUCUCCCCGGCGGCUUUCACCUUUUACGACAGUUUUCCGGCCUGGUUCGCGGCCGCGCCGGCCUAGUUUCCCUGGGCACCAGUGCCUGGACUUUUCGUCCUUGCAGGCGGUGGCUGCCUUGCUUUCUGGUAGAGGCGUGGAGUGGGUGGCCUCGGCCUCGUCCUCUGGAGUGGGAUGAACCGCGCUCUCGGCGGAGGCAGUGGAACAGAUCCGGAGACAUGGCCAGUACAGUGGUAGCAGUUGGACUGACCAUUGCUGCUGCAGGAUUUGCAGGUCGUUAUGUUUUGCAAGCCUUGAAGCAUAUGGAGCCUCAAGUCAAACAAGUUUUUCAAAGUCUACCAAAAUCUGCCUUUAGUGGUGGCUAUUACAGAGGUGGGUUUGAACCCAAAAUGACAAAACGGGAAGCAGCAUUAAUACUGGGUGUAAGCCCUACUGCCAAUAAAGGAAAGAUAAGAGAUGCUCAUCGACGAAUUAUGCUUUUAAAUCACCCAGACAAGGGAGGAUCUCCUUAUAUAGCAGCCAAAAUCAAUGAAGCUAAAGAUUUACUGGAAGGUCAAGCCAAAAAGUGAAGUAAAUAUGGAGCCUGCCUUCCUAGAAGAGUACACUGCCAGGGGCAAUGAGAAAAUGGUCCACUCAAGUUACCUGGCUGUCUAUCUUCUGCCUGACCCCUGAAACGACGCCUGCGGCUACGAUUGCGUCGCUGGGGUUUUUUUUCACUAUCAUCUGUAAUUGCAAAAUUUACCAUGAACUAUUCUGACAAAAAUGAAACAAAACAAAAAAAACUUUGUUCCUUCAAAGACUUAAGGAAAGAGAAAGAAAACCUUUCAGGUAAAUAGGGAAGACAAAACAACAUUAAGUUACUGACAGGACAAGUAUUUCUGUAGUUUUAAGCAUUCCAAAAAGAUUUACAAAAUGGAAUUAUCAUCUGAAAAUUAAGAGGGUUUUAAGUCUUACAAACCUCAGACUUAAUUACCAUCAUUCAGGAAUAAAGUUUUCCUCUCCAAUACAGUCUAGUUUGUACCAAAGUAAAUGACAGUGAAGCCCUUUGGAAAUUAAUGCCUACUCAAUAUACAUACUUUCACUAGUGUCAUUUAUAAUAAACUUUUAGGAGGUAAGCUGAAAGCCCAAUUUUGGUUUAGGAACAAUAAAAGUAUUAAAAGUGCCUCACAGUCUGUAUAUUUGUAUUAUUUAAUAGCAUCUAAGGGCACUUUAAUAAACCCUCUCAGUUUCAAAUAAUCUGGCUGUACAAAUCUGAGAACUAGACAUUUAAGAUAGACACAAAGCUGCUUAAAAAAUUCAAUUUUCAACUUGCACGUUUGUUUUAAAAAGCAUCAUACAUUAACAGUAUCAUACAAUAUGUAUUUUUCCCCAAAUGCUUACAUACCUAGCCCAUUUUCAUUAACUGAAGCUGUAUCAGAUUCAGUCAUUCCAUCCAUCAGAACAGCAUCUUCAUCAGUCCUUCGUCUACGAGACCGCCUACGACGGUUAGUACUGUGAUGAGAUUCGCUGGCAUCAGUGUCUGCAGUCUGAUCUGAUUCUGUAUUAUCAAGUAAGCUGUAUGGAUUGCUGUCUGGAUCUUUGAGCACUAUAUGCAUGUCAGAGGCAAGAAAUAUUCAUUUAAGAGAGCUGCAGUUAUUAGGAAUGUUUUGAUCUAUACUGAGCUAUAUUAAUUAAUGAUAAAGAAACUUCAAUUUUCCCCCAAUAAAAAUACAUUGUCUUCAUAUGUUUUCUGUAUCACUAUUUUACCUGGAAAAUAACAAAUAUGAAAAAACUUUAAAUGGCAAUGAAAAAUUAAAGCAGAUGAUGAGCAGACACCUCAACUUCCUACCAUUUCCCUUUGACUUGUUUUGAAAAUGUUACAAAACAGUGUUUUACAUGCUAUUUCUGACAUUCACAUCCUAGCUAAUCCUGCUUAGUAUACAAAAAGAAAAAGAAAAAGAAAUAAACAUUAAGCUACUAUGAAUUCUAAGAAAGAGAUUUCUGUCCCCUUUACUGAGUUGAAGGUGACUGCUGCUUCUUUCUGCUAAUAUUAAUGGACUACUCCCAAAUUAUACUCAACACCUGCACUCCACAACUUACCAGCAAUGUUACUACAUACUGAAGCAACCCAAACAAGUCACACACACACACACACACAAAGCAAACUAAAAAAGUUGACAUUUUAACUGGUGAUAGCAAAAUGUGGAAAUGAAUGUGGACUAGUACUCCCAUCUCCAGAAACAAAGAGUGAAAGGUGGGGUAAGGCAGGGGGUGAGGGUAGGAAAGGAAAAGUUUUAAGAUAUAAUUUGUAAGAAAAAAAUACCCAUCUUACCUAUGUGCAUUUAUUGCCUCCACCAAUCAAAUUAUAGAAGAAAUCACCUAAUCACGACUUUUCCUUUCUAAGUUUCCUUUGGUAACAGCUAGCAAGCUAGCAUCUUUGUAAAAGACACUAAGUUUAUCCAUUAAUCAUAAAUACUAAGUAAAGUACAUUUAUUCUGUAAGUCAGCAUUCUAAAAUUUUAUAAGCCUUGGUAAUAGUGAACCAUGUACUAAAAAACAUAAAAACUACCGUAUUUUUCGGACUAUAAGACCCCCCCAAAAUAAUUGUUAAUGCUGCUGUUGUUUAUAUUUACAUUGGUGAAAUAUUAUGUUAUUAAAUAUUUUACCACAUUUUUUGCUUCAAAAUUUUUUUCUUAUUUUUUUCCUCUAAAACCUAGGUGCAUCUUAUGUUCUGAAAAAUAUGGUACCUGAACACCUAUAAACUAAAUUUUAGGGAGCAAAGAUUUCACUAGAACUAGAGAGUGCCUUCUAAAAGCCCUUAAAUUUUGGGAUUUGUUUCAGUUUUUUCUCAUUUGUAAGCAUGUUUGGUAUAUAUUUAAUUACAUGUACAUAUGAUCUAUAGCAUUUAAAAUACUAUAUAAACUUUCAUAACUCAUAGUAUAACACUAAGAGUGUUUUCUUCAAGUUUU